rnacentral:rRNA from 1 species
UACGUAGGGGGCAAGCGUUGUCCGGAUUUAUUGGGCGUAAAGAGCUUGUAGGUGGUUUGUCGCGUUGUUCGUGAAAUCUCACGGCUUAACUGUGAGCGUGCGGGCGAUACGGGCAGACUAGAGUACUGCAGGGGAGACUGGAAUUCCUGGUGUAGCGGUGGAAUGCGCAGAUAUCAGGAGGAACACCGGUGGCGAAGGCGGGUCUCUGGGCCGAUAUUGACGCUGAGGAGCGAAAGCGUGGGGAGCGAACAGG